CAGGGACCCACGCUAGCUCUUCACAGACCCACGCUACACCCUUCACCCUGCAUGAAUGGGCCCCAUUGACGAAGGGUAGUUUCUAGAAGGUUGUGUCUACUCUUCACGGAGGACACAGGCUUCUGCAUGGAGUUUUAACAUUUGUGAUCACCUCAUUGUGACCUGAGCUGCUGGGCUGCAUUGCAACGGAACAUUCACCUUUUUGCCCUCAUGUGUCAAUGAGCUGUGGACAGUUGAGCAUAUUGAAAAGUAG